rnacentral:lncRNA from 1 species
UGAUUUUCUGAGGAGAGUCCAGCCAUGUGCUGCCUCAAGAAUGAAGUGCAGACAGAGUCACGGCCUCUUGCUUGUGGCUGGGAGCAGCUGAUGAACUUGAACCCAGCGGAGGGGAGCUGUGUUUCUUUAGGGAUGCUGUUCUGGGGGCGGUCAGAGACGCUGGGCCAGGGCUGCAGGUGACAUCCUUCCUGUGGUUGCUGGAGCGGCCGGCAGAGCCAGGUAAUGCCGGGAGCUGCUGGCAGGAUGAGGCUUCAGAUCACUCUCAGUGACGUCACGCGUAGAUAACGACAAACCUUUGAGAUUAUGAGAUCAUAACGUAGUGGCAAGGGAAGCCCACCGUGGUAUGAUGUGGGGGAUAAUAAUUAGUUCAUUUUAGCUUUUACCAGCCCACUGGCCUGGCCUGGCCCCUAAUUUAGAAGCCCAGGAGUGGCUACGGGCAAUCCAGGCAGGACUUGGGAGCCCCAGGCAAGGCAGUGCAUGGCAGAGCACCUUGAUGGCCUCUCUAUCUGAGUGGACAGCUCUCAAGAUCUGAGAGAGGGCAGCUCGGGCACCACAGGACUCAGCCUCCACCCAGCCACUUGGGGCUUUGCAGGAUUUGAGCCAAACUCCCUGUUCACACAGGGAAAGCAUGGCUGCCAGGGUCUUGUCUCAGUGAACUGCCCAGCACUCCAGGCACUGGCAUACCCGUGGAUGGGGCCAGCCCGCAGGAGACUUGGGAGGACUACAGCCUACAUCCGGGCUGCAACCUAGCUCCAGCUGGAGGGUGGCAGGGGAGUGGAGAGUGGGUGGGGGGUGGCCCUGGAAAGGAGGCUACCUGAAUAAAAGUGCCUGUCCCGUGCUCCUAGAGUCUGUGCUGUUAAGUAGAGGAUCUGGUGACCCUGGAGGGAGAGCAGAGAGAUAAUACGUAUAA